rnacentral:rRNA from 1 species
UACGGAGGGUGCGAGCGUUGUUCGGAAUUACUGGGCGUAAAGCGCGUGCAGGCGGCCGACUAAGUCAGGUGUGAAAGCCCGGGGCUCACCUCCGGAAGUGCGCUUGAAACUGGUCGGCUAGAGUACGGGAGAGGGAAGCGGAAUUCCUGGUGUAGCGGUGAAAUGCGUAGAUAUCAGGAGGAACACCGGCGGUGUAGACGGCUUUCUGGACCGUAGCUGACGCUGAGACACGAAAGCGUGGGUAGCAAACAGG